UACGUAGGGUGCAAGCGUUGUCCGGAAUUAUUGGGCGUAAAGAGCUCGUAGGCGGUUUGUUGCGUCGGCUGUGAAAUCCCGAGGCUUAACCUCGGGCCUGCAGUCGAUACGGGCAGACUAGAGUUCGGUAGGGGAGACUGGAAUUCCUGGUGUAGCGGUGAAAUGCGCAGAUAUCAGGAGGAACACCGGUGGCGAAGGCGGGUCUCUGGGACGGUACUGACGCUGAGACGCGAAAGCGUGGGGAGCGAACAGG
rnacentral:rRNA from 1 species